ensembl:lncRNA
CAGGGCUCCGCCUGCGCACAGGCUCCAGAACCUGUUGCCAUGGCAACAUGGGGUCCAGGCCUGCCCUGCUCUGGAGAGGAGCCUGAAGCUGAGGACUUCCUUGGGUGAGCAGGGUCCACUGCCCAGCACGUGGCAGCAUCAUUCAUGAGAGUGUGAGGUUUCUUUAGCCAGGGGUCCAGACCAAUGCCCACCAGAGGGCCCUCGCUAGAGAGCUGUGGAGCUGGGCCAGAAUCUGUGGUGACAUGAAACGCUGGGCAGCUGUGAUCCAGGCCACACAGGGAGGCAUCAUGUAUCAGGGUGAUGGCAAGAGUGUGGGCUUUGGCAUGACAGCCCUGGAUUCAAAUUCUGGCACGGAGACUUCCUUGCUGGGUGACACCAGGCAAGCUAGUGUCUCUCUGACCUUCAGUGCCCCCUCCUCCAGUUUAGGUAAAGCUCUGGCUCAGGGCGAAUGCUCCGGAAGCGAGGCUGUCUCAGUGAUCAGGGCGCUCCAGGACCAGCAGGGACGACUGAUGACACCGCUGGACUACCUGCCCCUGCUCUCCACACUGAAGAUGUAUUACCUCAUUUGACUCUAUAAGCUCAUCAAAGCCCUGUGUAAGAAGUGCCGUUGCAGUCAUCGCCAUCACCUGCCCAGCAUGGUGGUUUAAGCAAAUGUGUGAGCGCAGCAGCUGGAUGACCUGAAUUCAAGUUCUGACUCCACUGAUAUGUGACCUUGAACUCUGUGGUUAUGUGACCUUGCUUCACUGACUCCAUGUAUAAGACAGGAGCAAACAUAUCUCCCUGGAGCAUUGAAGAUCAUAUGCAGAGUAAGAAGAACACUACCAGCCAUAAGGACACCUCAGUCAUAACAGUAGCUAUUGUCAGUUAUAAAGAAGGAUACAGAAGGUCAAGGUCAAGUUCACCUAGCUGUCCAGUGCAGCAGGGUUUUAUCUCUAAGUCUGCAGACUUCAAAUCUUGGGUUUGGGGAUUAUCUUCUCAUCUUCCCCACCCUGUCCCCCUUGUCACCCUGUCUCCUAAUUAAUCUGUUCACGCCUCUGUCUGUCCUUCCACAUGGGGUUCUUCCAGAGCAGUAUCAGCACCAAGCCGUCUCCCCAGUGGCCGGACGGUGCCUGGCCACCGGGGGACUGUGUUGAAGGAAUGAUGCAUUCCAUGUACCAGGCAUCCUGCUCUGUGCUUCCACAUGGAUUAUUUUAUCUGUGCCUCCAGACCACUCUAUGAAGUAGAUAACAAUUCUUCUACAACUGUCUUGAGCUCCAAUAAAGCACUUAUCGGUCUGGA